rnacentral:misc_RNA from 1 species
CCUCAUUGUUCACAAUUGUUCAAAAUUCCAAUUGGUGAAUUGUAAUAGGUUAUUCGCACGCAGUUCUGCAUACGGCGAAUGGCUUUUGCAUCGCAUUAACAAGACUUUGGCUUUUAACAGUGGCUACUAGAAACUUUAGCCAGUAGGACAACGUCUGCAAUGGAUUUAAUGUGGGUAUGAACAGAACCACCAGCCAUACCAAGGCAAAACACUAAUCAGCAAUUACUAACACAAUUAGGCCAAUAGAUUGGUCAAAGGGGAUUGUCAUAUGCCACAGACGGAUUAAUAGCCCAAGCAAAAUGUAGUUAUCAACUUCAAACAACCACAGAAAGGACAUCUGCCUACCAUAUCCCACAUCCUUGAAUACAAAACCAUAAGAACCAAAAUCCCUAGAACUACACCCUAACACAUCCACACCAAUGCUCCUAAGAAUCCGCAAGUGCCUUGUCAAUUUCUUCAACGUGAUCCCUAAGUACAUUCCACUGCACAAGUAGAAAACCAAAUCAACACACCUAUUUAGCAAUUAGAAUCAUUCAGAAAAAGUGUCAAAUUUUGAUAAAUUGUACCUGAUCAACACUUAAUGAUAUUCCUGGAUCAAAAUACAAACAUAUAAGCACGUCAGGAAUGUUGAAGGAAUGAUAUAAAGAAAGGAAAUGAAAAUUAAAAUGAAAAAAGAAAAACGAAAUUAAAAGGAUCUUUUUCACCACACCACCCCACACUCUCCACCCCCCGGGGCUGCUUUUUCCCCUUUUCCCCUAUUUUUUUUUCCUCUUCUCCAACCCAAAUGUGCAAGGCUCACCAAAAAGAAAUUAAUCAUUUUCACUGCUCAGGCUUCCAAAGCAAGAAAAGCAAUUAAUUCUAACCUCAUGAUGCUUUAAUUCCACAACAUAAAGACCUUCAGAUGAGAUUAUUAAACCAAGGUAUAAACUAGUAACUGCUAUGUACAACUGCAAGAGAAAGGAACUUUUUGAAACAAAUUGCAGAUUAUGGCUGAGUUUAACUACAAAUGGAUUCAAGAAGGUCUUUUUGAUGAAAAGCAAGGAACUAAGACAUAUAAUAGGCAUGCUCUGGUGCCAACAUGCAGACCAUCUGGCUUCAUCAUUGAAUGGCAACAAAAUGCUCAGCAUAUUUCUCAGCUAAAGUCAAUAAUUUGACCUUCCCCAAGCAUGAUGGAAAGAAAACUCAAUUAAUGUGUUCUAUCAAAAGAAUCUAACAAAAAUUUUUUCUUUUAAACAUCAAUCCUCUAUCAAUGCCUUCCGCAAAGAAUUGAGCUCUACCUCCAUUCACUCACAUAUGAUCAACUUGCAUCUCAUACGGCUCUUCUUCUAUACGACCCGUAAGAAAUCUUCAUUCUACCCUUUGCCAUUAAAGUAGAGAUUGGGAAAAGGGAUACAUAACAAAGUACAAGGAUAAAAGCAUGUACUCUUAGUGAGUGUCCCCAAGUGUACAGGGCCUUUCCUAUCCUGCUAGCCUCUUCCCCAAAUAUUCCACUGUAAGGUCCUAUACAGAUUUGUUCUUGAAUUAGGAUGUAAAGGAAGACCUAGAUAAAU